rnacentral:rRNA from 1 species
UACGGAGGAUCCAAGCGUUAUCCGGAAUCAUUGGGUUUAAAGGGUCUGUAGGCGGUUUUGUAAGUCAGUGGUGAAAGCCCAUCGCUCAACGGUGGAACGGCCAUUGAUACUGCAAGACUUGAAUUAUUGGGAAGUAACUAGAAUAUGUAGUGUAGCGGUGAAAUGCUUAGAGAUUACAUGGAAUACCAAUUGCGAAGGCAGGUUACUACCAAUAUAUUGACGCUGAUGGACGAAAGCGUGGGGAGCGAACAGG